UGACUGAAAAGCUUCAAACCCCGAUAAAUUUCAACCAUACCCCUUCCUGCUGCGUGCUCUGCGAACCAGAGAGCUUUACUGAGAAGCUCCCUCUCUUUCGCUCUACAUGGUCUUUCCAUGGAACUACAAAUGCUCUGUGUCCUCUCUCUCUAAAUGUCAACAGCUCUCCCUCCUCAUUCGCAUAAGAAAUUUCAGCCAUACCCCCUCCUCCUGUAUGCUCUGCGAACCAAAGAGCUUCACUGAGAAGCUCCCUCUCUCUUGCUAGCCACCUUUUUUCCAGGCAAUUACAAAUGCUCUGCAUCAUCUCUCUCUAAAUUUCAGCCGCUCUACCUUCUCAUUCGCUCUAGGAAGCUCGUUGUGGCUACUAGCAUCUCAAGUAGGCAGCACGCUGAGAAAAACCCAACCCAAGAUGACUCAGGAUUAAGGCACUGAAAUUGCACAGGAAAGCAUGACAACUGUUUGAUUGUAGUACGGGCCCCAAAAGGAUGGGGCACUGCAUCCAAGCACGCUGAUAUUGGCACUGAAUCGGCAUACUAUACAUGUUUCAUGAACGCCUCAACAUCAAUAUCUCCUUCCUCUCCUGUCGACAUUACUAGUUCAAAAAAUGGGCAUGAGUGUGGUGCUCAAGGUAUGGUAGAUGAAGCUUGCCAUGAUUUUCCAUUUGAUGAGGAUAUAGUUGCAAUAGAUGGAGAAGGAGAUCCUAUAUUAUAGAUGCAGAGGCAGCCCUAGCAAGAAGUGCAAGUAUCGAACCGGCAAUGGGAAUGGCAUUUACUGACGAAGACGAAGCUUAUGAUUAUUAUAAUAAGUACGUAAAAUUUGUAGUGUUUGGUAUAAGAAAGGGAAGGACAUAUGGAAACAUGGUGAAAAAGUUGGUCAAUUUAUAGAAUAUUGUAGGCAAGGUUUUUAUAAUGAGAUGUAUGAUGGGAGUGAAAAUGCUCAGCCCCACACAAAAUGUGGAUGUCAGGCAAAGAUUCGCAUUAAGAAGAAUAAGACGCAGAGAUGGGUUAUUACGAAGUUUAUAAAAGAACAUAAUCAUAUUCUUACAAUGCCCAACAAGACUAGAUUCAUUCGCUCUCAUCAAAAGAUACCAAACACAUUAAAUAAGGUGAUUAACACAUUGGAGUCGUCUAUGGCUAAGUCUAGGGUUACAAUGGCUUACCUUAUUGAAGAGGCCGGUGGGGCAGAAAAUCUCCUCUUCAUUGAGAAAGACCUUGAUAAUCACAUAACUCGAAAGAGAAAACAAGGAAAAUAGGGUAAUGUUGUUAUGAACAGGUUGCAUACGAAGAAAGAAUUGGAACCUAACUUCUUUUAUAGAGUUCGACUUGAUGAGAUGGGGAGGUUAUUUGGUGUUUUAUGGGUUGAUUCAAAGUGUAUAUUGUCAUACCAAUUUUUUAAUAACGUGGUAACCUUUGACACCACAUACCAAACAAAUGACUACAAUAUGCCCUUUGGCCCAAUCCUUGAAGUUAAUCAUCACGCUAACACAAUUUUCCUUGGAUGUGCUCUCAUCUUCAAUGCGACUAUAGAAAUCUGCAUUUGGUUAUUUGAGAACUGGCUAAAUGCAAUUGGAGGCCGCCAACCAAAUACAAUUAUCACUGAUCAGGCUUUAGCUAUAAUAGCUGCAGUUAAGACAGUUUUCCCGAAUACUAAUCAUCACUAUUGCAAGUGGCACAUCACGGGAAAGUUUAAAACACAUCUAAGCCAUGUUGAGUGUGCGUACCUAUUAUUCUUAGAGGUAUUCAAGAAGUGUAUUGCAGCCUCUACAGUUGAGCAGUUUGAGGCUGAUUGGUUGGCUAUGAUUCAGAAAUAUGAUCUUCAAGAAGAAAGUUGGCUCAAGUGGUUAUAUGGUUAUCGCACUCAAUAGGUUGAUGCAUACAUAGCUGAUAGGUUCACAGCCAGCAUGAAAACCACACAACGAAGUGAAGGGUUCAAUCGUCAUUUAAAGAUGUAUGUCACUUAUGGUACAGGUUUGCAAAAAAUCAUGAAUGCUAUUGAAAAGUUGCAAAACAAGAAGUUCAUCAAAGAAAAAGAGAAAUAUAGUAAAUAUCUUACAUCCACACCUGUUCUAAAGACGACCUUCCUUAUCAAAGAGCAUACAACAAAAACAUACACUCAGAAAUUAUUUAGAAAGUUCCAAGAAGAGGCAGUAAGGUCAUCAAAUUGCCUUAGCAAAUUCAUAGAAGGCAAUGAUGAAUUUUUCAAAUAUAAGGUGGAAGACAUUUGCGGUUUGCCAAUCCCUCGGAUGGUUACAUUCAUUGAAUCAGGGAAGAAGUGUACAUGCAUAUGUCAAUUAUUUGAACGUGUUGGAAUCCCUUGUUCACAUAUGCUCAAAGUGUUCAACAUGAGAAAUGUAUUGAAGAUCCCAUCUAAUUACAUUUUGAGUCGGUAGACAAUGGAUGUGAAGAAGGAUGUCAAAAACAAAUGUGGUGCUAGUAGUUCGACUAUAUCUAAAUUUCCAAGUUUCAUUUGACGCUAUGAGCUUUAUGACCUUGUGAAAACAAUUGUAGAGCCAGUAUUAGAAAAUGAUGAUUUAUAUGAAAAAGUGAAGUUGGGUUUCUCCAAGUUAGCUGAGGAGGUCAAUGUCACAAGAGAGUCGUUGUCGAAUACUCAUGCACCAUCAGCCCCCACUCAUUGUAGUGCUGCAGAAGAUGAAGUAUGUGGCAGUAUUAGAUCAGUUGAUGUCUCCCCCCUUGUACUUAAUCCACCAUAUGCAUGAGCAAUUGAACGACCAAGGACUAAAACGAUUAAACCUUCAUGGGAAAAAGGGCCAAAAGCUUCUACACAAAAGAAACAGUCGGAGGAAAGGCCACCCACUGGAAGGAAGUAUAAAGUUUGCAAUAAGAGUGGAGAUGACAGACAUAACUAUCCGGUGAGGGCAUGUGGGAUAACUAUUGAGGACCUCAAACAGAGUUGAGGCCAUGACAAACAAAGGGGCUGCAAUUGCAUGGAGGACAUGACAAAUUGCCAGAUUGCAUUCGCAUUGAGGAUAUGGCGACUUGCAGGGGUUCAUUUGCACAUAUAUUUAAAGACGUAAAAACCUGUUUUUGUAGUUGACUUUGGGGGUUAUGUGAAUAUUCAAUGAAUUUACAGGCAUGUAAAAGACCUAUUUAUGAGGCAUGUAAAUAACUUGACCAAUUUUUUGAAUUUUGGAGACUUGCAAAUACCCCUUUCUGUAGUUGACUUUGGUGUUAUGUGAAUAUUCAAUAUUCAUGUAA